rnacentral:lncRNA from 1 species
GGCGCAUGCCUGUAAUCCCAGCUACUCAGGAGGCUGAGGCAGGAGAAGCGCUUGAACCCGGGAGGCGAAGGUUGCGGUGAGCCAAGAUGGUGCCAUUGCACUCCAGCCUGGGCAACAAGAGUGAACUCUGUCUCAAAAAAAAAAAAAAAAAAGAAGAGUUCACUUUUCUGGGAUGGAAUCUUUCCAGGCAUGUUAUUUUUUGUCUUUUUUAUAAUAGCCAUUCUAACCAGGGUAGGAUGAUAUCUCACUGUGGUUUUUAUUUGCAUUUCUCCGAUGAUUAGGGAUUAGAAUAUUUUUUCAUAUUCCUGUUGGCCAUUUGUAUGUCUUCUUUUUUUGUUUGUUUAAGAUGGAGUCUCACUCUGUCACCCAGGCUGGAGUGCAAUGGUGUGAUCUCGGCACACUGCAACCUCCACCUCCCAGGUUCAAGCGAGUCUCCUGCCUUGACCCCCUGGGUAGCUAGGACUACAGGCAUGCACCACCAUGCCCAGCUAAUUUUUUAAUAUAUAUUUUUAGUAGAGACAGGGUUUCACCAUGUUGGCCAGGCUGGUCUCGAACUCCUGACCUCAGGUGAUCCGCCUGCCUCGGCCUCCCAAAGUGCUGGGAUUACAGGCAUGAACCACCAUGCCCGACCAUUAUGUUUUAUUUUUAGAAAUAUCUAUUCAUGUCCUUUGCCUGCUUUUUAAUGUGGUUGUUCUUUUGCUGUUGAGUUGUUUGCAUUCCUUGUAUAUUCUGGAUAUUAGUCCUUGGUCAGAUGAAUAAUUUGCAAGUAUUGUCUCCCAUUCAACAUACUGUCUGUUCAUUCCAUUGGCUGUUUCCUUUUCUGCGAAGAAGCUUUUGGUUUAAUGUAGUCCCAUCUGUCUAUUUUUGUUUUUGUUGCCUGUUCUUUUGAAGUCUUAACCAUAAAAUCUUUGCCUAGACCAAUGUCUUGGAUAAUUUUUCCUAUGUUUCAUUUUAGUAGUUUUAUACUUUCAGGUCUCACGCUUAAGUUUCUAUUCCAUUUUGAGUCGGUUUUUGUAUAUGGUGAGAGAUGGGGGUCUAAUUUCAUUCUUCUGCAUAUGGAUACCCAGUUUUCUCAGCACCAUCUAUUGAAGAGGAUGUCUUUUUCCCAAUGUAAGUUCUUGGCACCUUCGUUGAAAAUCAGUUGGCUGUAAAUAUGUGGGUUUAUUUCUGGGUUCUCUGUUCUGUUCCCCUGGUCUAUGUGUCUGUUUUUAUAGCAACACCAUGCUGUUGUGGUUAUUAUAGCUUUAUAAUACAUUCUGAAGUCAAGUAGUGUGGUGCCUCCAGCUUUGUUCUUUUUGCCCAGGAUUGCUCUGGUUAUUCAAGCUUUUUUGGUUCCAUACGAAUUUUAGGAUUGCUUUUCCUAAAUUGUCAUUGGUUUCUUGCUAGGGAUUGCAUUCAAUCCAUAGGUUGCUCUGGGUAGUAAUGUUAUCUUAACAAUAUUCUUCCAAUCCAUGAGUACAAGAUGCCUUUCCAUUCGUUUGCAUCUUCAGCUUCUUUCAUCAGUGUUUUGUAGUUUUUCUUGUCAAAGUCUUUCAUUUCCUUAGUUAAAUUUAUUCCUAAGUUUCUUCUUCUUUUUCUUUUUUUUUUUUUUGUAGCUAUUGUAAAUGGGAUUGCUUUCUUGAUUUCUUUUUCAGCCAGUUCAUUAUUGGUGUAUAGGUUUGCUACUGAUUUUUGUAUGUUGAUUUUGUAUCCUGCCACAAUUGGUUUAUCAGACCUAAAAGUUUUCUGAUGAAGUUUUUCUAAGUAUAAGAUCAUGCAAUCUGCAAAUAAGGACUAUUUGACUUCCUGUUUUCCAAUUUGGAUACCUUUUGUUUCAUUAUCUUGUCUGAUUGUUCUGGCUAGGGCUUCUGGUACUAUGUUUAAUAGGAGUGGUAGAGGUAGACUUCCUUGUCUUAUUCUAGUUCUUUGAGAAAAGGUUUUCAGCUUUUCCCCAUUCAGUAUAACGUUCGUUGUGAGUUUGUCAUAGAUGGCCUUUAUUGUGUUGAGAUAUGUUCCUUCUAUGCCUAGAGACUUGAAAGUUUUUCGGUUUUGGGUUUUUUUUUGUUUUGUUUUGUUUUUUGAGACAGUCUUGCUCCAUCACCCAGGCUGGAGUGCAGUGGCACGAUCUUGGCUCACUGCAAGCUCCGCCUCCCGGGUUCAUGCCAUUCUCCUGCCUCAGCCUCCUGAGUAGCUGGGACUACAGGUGCCCGCCAGCACGCCCAGCUAAUUUUUUUGUAUUUUUAGCCAGGAUGGUCUCGACCUCCUGACCUCGUGAUCCGCCCACCUCGGCCUCCCAAAGUGCUGGGAUUACAGGCAUGAGUCGCCACGCCCAGGCUGUUUGUUUGUUUUUUGAGACAGAGUCUCACUCUGUUACUCAGGCUGGAGAGCAGUGGCACAAUCUCGGCUUACUGCAACCUCCGCCUCCUGGGUUCAAGUGAUUCCCCUGCCUCAGCUUCCUAAGUAGCUGGGAUUACUGGCGCCCACCACUAUGCCCGGCUAAGUUUUGUAUUUUUAGUAGAGACAGGGUUUCGCUAUGUUAACCAGGCUGGUGUUGAACUCCUGACUUUAGAUGAUCCACCCGCCUCGGCCUCCCAAAGUGCUGGGAUUACAGGCAUGAGCCACCAUGCCCAGACCUCACUGAAAUUCUUUAAUAGCAAUAUUUUGAAUCCUUUUUCUGGCUGUAGGGACUAGCCCCACAGGGUCAGUGGGUUUUUCUCCCCGUGUGCGGAGACAAGAGAUUGUAGAAAUAAAGACACAAGACAAAGAUUAAAAAAAAGACAGCUGGGCCCGGGGGACCACUACCACCAAGACGUGGAGACCCGUAGUGGCCCCGAAUGUCUGGCUGUGCUGUUAUUUAUUGGAUACAAAGCAAAAGGGGCAGGGUAAAGAGUGUGAGUCAUCUCCAGUGAUAGGUAAGGUCACAUGGGUCACGUGUCCACUGGACAGGGGGCCCUUCCCUGCCUGGCAGCCAAGGCAGAGAGAGAGAGGAGAAAGAGAGAGAGACAGCUUAUGCCAUUAUUUCUGCAUAUCAGACUUUUAGUACUUUCACUAAUUUUGCUAUUGCUAUCUAGAAGGCAGAGCCAGGUGUACAGGAUGGAACAUGAAGGUGGACUAGGAGCUGAAGCACAGCAUCACAGGGAGAUGGUUAGGCCUCCGGAUAACUGCAGGCGAGCCUGACUGAUGUCAGGCCCUCCACAAGAGGUGGAGGAGUAGAGUCUUCUCUAAACUCCCCCGGGGAAAGAGAGACUCCCUUUCCUGGUCCGCUAAGUAGCGGGUGGUUUUCCUUGACACUGAGGCUACCACUAGACCACUGUCCGCUUAGCAACAGGCGUGUUCCCAGACGCUGGCGUUACCGCUAGACCAAGGAGGCCUCUAAUGGCCCUGUCCGGGCAUAACAGAAGGCUCGCACUCUUGUCUUCUGGUCACUUCACACUAUGUCCCCUCAGCUCCUAUCUCUGUAUGGCCUGGUUUUUCCUAGGUUAUGAUUGUAGAGCGAGGAUUAUUAUAAUAUUGGAAUAAGGAGUAAUUGCUACAAACUAAUGAUUAAUGAUAUUCAUAUGUAAUCAUGUCUGUGAUCUAGAUCUAGUAUAACUCUUGUUGUUUUAUAUAUUUUACUAUACUGGAACAGCUCGUGCCCUCGGUCUCUUGCCUCGGCACCUGGGUGGCUUGCCGCCCACACUGGCACUUUAUAAAUUUCUUUUCAUUGGAAUUUGUUGUGUGAGCAUUAUCACACUCCUUUGGAGGUUUCAUAUUUUCUUGCUUUUUCAAGUCUCUUAUGUCCCUACAUUGAUUUUUGCGCGUCUGGUGUAACAGUCACUUCUUCCCAUUUUUUGGAUUGGCUUUCAUAACGGAAGACUUUUUCAUGAAGACAUCGUAUCUGUGGUGUUCACUGGGUAAUGCUCUUCAGCUUUGAUUCUAGCGUGCAGUCAUGUAGUCUCUAUGAUUUUUUCAGCUACAAACAGCAUUAGUAGUGUCUGACUUCCUCAGUGGCUUAGGAUGUGGUUGUCACUGGAGGCUGUAUUGAGACUUUGCUGGGGAUGGGAUGCCAGGUGGGUCAAUCCUUGGCCUCCAGUGGUGACAGAGGCAGGCUGAGCAUACCUAUCCUUUGGCCUUUGGGGGUAUACACAAGUACUGGUGUUAACAGGUCCAGAUGGGCCAAUUCAUGAACCUCCACGUGGCUCACUUUGGUGCCAGCAGGGGCAGCAGUCAGCAAGGAUGAUGAGUGGGUCCUUGGGUCCCUGGGCUGCAUGCAUGGCAUGAUGGUGGCAGUGGCAAUGGUGGGACAAUCCUUAACUUCCCAGGCAGCAAACACUGGUGUUACCAGUGGCUGAGAUGGGCUAGGUGGGUGAUGCAUGUCAGUGUGUGCCAGUGGUGAUGGUGGCAGCAGGCUGGGUAGACCCAUCCUCAGACCCCCAGGAGGAGUAUAUAGAUACCAGUGGUGGCAGAUGGGCAGGGCAAUGCCAGGGCCCUAGGCAGCAUGCUUGGGCAUUGUGGGGAGCAGUGCCUGACUGGGUGGGCCCGUCCUCAGGCCCUGUGGUGGUGCACGUGGGUGCAGGUGGUGAACAGGCUGAGGCAAUCCCUUGGCUGCUAUGUGGCAUGCUUGGGUGUUAGUGGUAGUGGCAGUUGUCGGCAAGGAGAUCCUGUCCUCAGGGCAUGUACAAAUGUGCAUGGCACUGCUGCUGGUGCAGGGGCAGGACUGCUGUCAAUGGCAGCAGCCCCAGGCAUGCAGCUCUCAGGCUCUGGGAAAUACAUGCUUUGGCCCCUGGUGAGGUGUCGGUAGUGGCCGUGGCCGUGGUGGCAGUCCUUUGUUUAUUUUAGCCUAUAUUUUUUUUUUUUUUUUUUUGAGACAGAGUCUCACUCUGGCCCAGGCUGGAGUGCAGUGGUGCAAUCUCGGCCCACUGCAAGCUCCGCCUCCCAGGUUCACACCAUUCUCCUGCCUCCGCCUCUCGAGUAGCU